rnacentral:rRNA from 1 species
GACGAACGCUGGCGGCGUGCUUAACACAUGCAAGUCGAACGGAAAGGCCCUGCUUGCAGGGUACUCGAGUGGCGAACGGGUGAGUAACACGUGGGUGAUCUGCCCUGCACUUCGGGAUAAGCCUGGGAAACUGGGUCUAAUACCGGAUAGGAGCCAUUUUUAGUGUGAUGGUUGGAAAGUUUUUUCGGUGUAGGAUGAGCUCGCGGCCUAUCAGCUUGUUGGUGGGGUAAUGGCCUACCAAGGCGGCGACGGGUAGCCGGCCUGAGAGGGUGGACGGCCACAUUGGGACUGAGAUACGGCCCAGACUCCUACGGGAGGCAGCAGUGGGGAAUAUUGCACAAUGGGCGCAAGCCUGAUGCAGCGACGCCGCGUGGGGGAUCACGGCCUUCGGGUUGUAAACUCCUUUCGCUAGGGACGAAGCUUUUUGUGACGGUACCUAGAUAAGAAGCACCGGCUAACUACGUG